GAGUUUGAUCCUGGCUCAGGAUGAACGCUAGCGGCAGGCCUAAUACAUGCAAGUCGAACGGGAUUUGGGUAGCAAUAUCCAAUGAGAGUGGCGCACGGGUGAGUAACGCGUAUGCAACCUACCUUUAACAGGGGAAUAGCUCCGAGAAAUCGGAAUUAAUGUCCCAUAGCAUCUAUAAGUUACGUGAUUUUUAGAUUAAAGCUCCGGCGGUUAAAGAUGGGCAUGCGUGCCAUUAGCUAGUUGGUGAGGUAACAGCUCACCAAGGCUAUGAUGGCUAGGGGUUCUGAGAGGACUAUCCCCCACACUGGUACUGAGACACGGACCAGACUCCUACGGGUGGCAGCAGUGGGGAAUAUUGGGCAAUGGGCGCAAGCCUGACCCAGCGACGCCGCGUGCGGGAAGACGGCCUUAGGGUUGUAAACCGCUGUUGUACGGGAAGAAGGAUUUGACGGUACCGUACGAGUAAGGUCCGGCUAACUACGUGCCAGCAGCCGCGGUAA
rnacentral:rRNA from 1 species